CGUAAAAACCCUAUUUGUAAACAACCAGUCCUUUAACUCAACGCUGCGUCAUAAACACGGAGCGCUUGGAAGACCACGAUGUCAUCUUCCUUCUGUCAGGAGGAUCAAAGUGAAGCUACAGGAGUUUCAUUAACGUCAACAACUUGGACCAAACAGUUUGUUUUGCUUGAUGAAGAGCAGGAAGGGCAGCCUGGAGAGAAAGAGAAGCCGGGUUGAGCCCACUACCAUCAUCCACGUACCACGAGGAAGAUGAGGGAGAGAAAUGAUCCUACCAUUAAAGAGACUGUGAAAAGAACGUUGAGAACAUCACCACUCUACAGGAAGACACAGUCCAGUAAUGGGUGUCAGAAGUUCAGUAGUGAACGACAGGUACUGUGGGAAAAUGUGUGUCAUUGUUGUACAAUGUCCUUUGACUCUGUUUAAACAAGGUCAACACAAAAAGGUUUGAUUGUAAACUGAUAUUGGUAUGAAUUCAUGUUAUUCUCCUCUUCACAAGAAACAAACAAUCAAAAUUACGUGCAGAACACCCUUGAUGGACGCUUCAGCUGCAUCGUCAGACUGGUGAGACAGCAAGAUGCCAACUUUAAUGCCAAUUUAUUUGUGUAACAUUCUGUGACCAAAUGUAUAGAUAACUU